UCCAGGGUAGCCUAGUGGACAUGGCAUCUGCCCAGUAAGCGAACAUUGUUUGUUCGUUUCCCAUCCCUGGAC